rnacentral:tRNA from 1 species
AGGGGUAUAGCUCAACUGGUAGAGCGACGGUCUCCAAAGCCGUAUGAGUGGGUUCGAGUCCUACUAUCCUUG